rnacentral:rRNA from 1 species
AUACGAAGGGGGCUAGCGUUGUUCGGAAUUACUGGGCGUAAAGCGCACGUAGGCGGAUUAGUAAGUUAGAGGUGACAUCCCAGGGCUCAACCCUGGAACUGCCUUUAAUACUGCUAGUCUAGAGUUCGAGAGAGGUGAGUGGAAUUCCAAGUGUAGAGGUGAAAUUCGUAGAUAUUUGGAGGAACACCAGUGGCGAAGGCGGCUCACUGGCUCGAUACUGACGCUGAGGUACGAAAGUGUGGGGAGCAAACAGGAUUAGAUACCCUGGUAGUCCACGCCGUAAACGAUGUCAACG